GGCAGCCAUUUUCUGCGUCUCACAAAAUUGCCGUCAGACGUCCUGUUUAUUUUGUCAUGAUGCUUCACGCAGGUCGCAGAGUCGCGUUUUUGCUUUUAGAAACAAUUUAGACACAAUGCGUCUAUGUUGGAAAAGUUAAGUUAGUGUUUAUUUCUUUUCUUGUCCUGUGUGGAUCUGGCAUAAUACGAGUUUUCGCGUAGGAAACGAACGCAAACGGUUUGCUCUCUGUUUAGUUAUUGAUACUACAUAAUAUAUUACCAACUAUGAAGUUGUAUUUAGGUACUUGCUUCCGCGAAUACGAGCUUAUAGCUUAAUAGUGAAUUCACCGGUCCAGGAAAUAAAGUUGCGGAUACAAAUAUUUAAUAAAUUUAUCAAAAUCAAAUCAAGAUUGGUAACACUCGAACACGACAUUGAAUAAUAUCAUAAUUUGGCUACUCGAGAAGAAGUUGGCUGUUGACACUGACGACGUGCAUUUAUAGCUACUAUAUUGACAUACAAUGUUGAUGUCGCCUAUGAAGAUUGGUACAGCAGUAUGUGAUGCUGUCUUCUUUAAACCACUACUGAUGCACAAUAACUUCAAUUUAAAGGGAAGUACGUGAAAAGUCAAGGUAAAAUCUAUAACAGCAUCAGUGAACAAUGAAUUCCAUCCCUUUAAUGAUUACCUUAACAAUAGAUUAAAAGUACCAUUGGAGGUGAGAUAAGUAACUGUUUGGAAUUUGGUGAACUGGCUGAACUGGAAAAUGCCGCUUGCCUAUACUUGCAGAAUCAUAGAAUCUAAAAAUUACCAGAUGGCAGUUUGGACCAAAAAUUAUAACCCACCGUAUUAGAGGUGGUCUAGCUGUAUUAAAUAAUAAUUGUGCAGUGUUUUUAAAGCACCUUUUAAGACUUC